GAUGAACGCUAGCGGCAGGCUUAAUACAUGCAAGUCGAACGGGAAUUGGGUAGCAAUACCUGAUGAUAGUGGCGCACGGGUGCGUAACGCGUAUGCAACCUACCUUUAACAGGGGGAUAGCCCGGAGAAAUUCGGAUUAAUACCCCAUAGUAUUAUGGAGAGGCAUCUUUUCAUGAUUAAAGUUCCGGCGGUUAAAGAUGGGCAUGCGUGCCAUUAGCUAGUUGGUGAGGUAACGGCUCACCAAGGCGACGAUGGUUAGGGGUCCUGAGAGGGUUAUCCCCCACACUGGUACUGAGACACGGACCAGACUCCUACGGGAGGCAGCAGUAAGGAAUAUUGGUCAAUGGGCGGAAGCCUGAACCAGCCAUGCCGCGUGCAGGAAGACGACCUUAUGGGUUGUAAACUGCUUUUGUCAGGGAAUAAACCCUCGUUUUGCGAACGAGGCUGAAGGUACCUGAAGAAUAAGCAUCGGCUAACUCCGUG
rnacentral:rRNA from 1 species